UACGUAGGGGGCAAGCGUUGUCCGGAUUUAUUGGGCGUAAAGAGCGUGUAGGCGGUUAGGUAGGUCCGUUGUGAAAACUCGAGGCUCAACCUCGAGACGCCGAUGGAAACCAUCUGACUAGAGUCCGGAAGAGGAGAGUGGAAUUCCUGGUGUAGCGGUGAAAUGCGCAGAUAUCAGGAAGAACACCCGUGGCUAAGGCGGCUCUCUAGUACGGUACUGACGCUGAGAUGCGAAAGCGUGGGGAGCGAACACG
rnacentral:rRNA from 1 species